ensembl:lncRNA
CCCCACACCACUCCGCACCGUGGCCUUACGCAACCAACUGCAUUAUCUACUAUUCCUAGACUGUACCUUUUUACCUUUGUCCUCCUCUAGCUUUGCUGCCCCUCCACACACGGUUCUCUUCUGCAAACCCUCCUCUCUCCCAAAUCCCCACAGGGCCUUCAAGAUCGGCUGUGUACCGCCUCGCCCAGGAAGUCUUCCAAAUUUCUACCAGGCGGAAGGGUGUGAUCGAUCGGUCCCGGUCUUUCCCGGGUACCUUUCUUAGCAUUUUGUAGGUCUUUCACAGGACUUAUCGCCUCCUUCCUGGUAUCGUGCCUUAUCUCCCGCACCAAGAGCGUCUAAGGUACCCCCCGGGGUGGGGGGAGGGUGGGAAGGGGGCCCCGGAGCCCGGGUUCACCUUUUGAAUCCCUCCGGCGCCGACCGACCGGAGGGCGGGGGUGGCGCCUGCAAGCGGGGUCAGCGCGCAGGUUGGUCCAACCGAACCCGGGGGAACGCUCCGACCGCACCAUUCCCUAACCAGAAAUCGGUUAGGCAGUGUUCCCGAGAGGAAGAUCGCAAAGAUGCUCGCCCGCCUCCGGGUCACAGCUAUUUGUCCAACGUGGCUGCACAGUGUGACCUAUGGUGUGAGUGGGCCUCAUCCAAUCAACUGAAGGCCCGAAUAACACAAAAGACUGGCCUCUCUCAAGCAGGAAGAAGUUCUGCCUGAAGAUGACCUCUGAACUUGAACCACAGCAUUGGCUUUUCCCUGGGUCCCCAGCCUCCUGCUCACCCUGCAGAUUUUGGACUUG